rnacentral:tRNA from 1 species
GUUUAGUUAGUUUAUUAAGAACCCCUGUUUUGCAUACAGACAGAAAGAUAUUUCUUACAAAACC